rnacentral:rRNA from 1 species
UACGUAGGGUGCGAGCGUUGUCCGGAAUUACUGGGCGUAAAGAGCUCGUAGGUGGUUUGUCGCGUUGUUCGUGAAAACUCACAGCUUAACUGUGGGCGUGCGGGCGAUACGGGCAGACUGGAGUACUGCAGGGGAGACUGGAAUUCCUGGUGUAGCGGUGGAAUGCGCAGAUAUCAGGAGGAACACCGGUGGCGAAAGGCGGGUCUCUGGGCCGAUACUGACGCUGAGGAGCGAAAGCGUGGGGAGCGAACAGG